rnacentral:lncRNA from 1 species
UAUCAUGCUUGUAAUAGGCAUUUUGUAAAGUAUAUAUAUGUAGUAUAAUUAGAUAAUGUGGUGAUUAUGUCAAGCUAUAUAAUACAAUUUUAAUUUGAUCUUGAUUGAGAGAAUCAAUCACUUGAAUACUUUGGCCGGAUCAUGAUUACAUGAUAACCCAUCAGAGAAGACUUUUUGAAGAUAGUAUAUUAGGCCGAUCUCUCUCUUUUACAUCUUUGAACAUAGCACAUAGAACACAACCAUGAUCUCAUUGAAAAGAUGUGAAGAAACUAAGAAUGAUCAAUGAAUGCAUAAAGCAUUAUGAUAGUAUAAGUGCACGACAAAGAAAAUCAUAGAUAUAUUAUACGUAUUUAGUUUCAAAUUAAUUAGUUAAUUUUUAAAUUAUGUAUUGAUUGGGUCUUAUAAAAAUAUAAGAUUUUUUUUGAAAAUUUAUUAUCUAUUAAAUUUGAUAAAUUAUUAUUUUACCAUAUUGUCCCCAAGUCAAGAUUGACAGAAAGUAUUAUUUAAUUGAGAUUAUAAAUUUAUCGAAGGUGAAUUUAACAAGGCUUUAAACUACAAAUAAUGUUGUGGAACAAUAAUGCAAAAUUAUGCCGUGAAGUCCACGACUUGAGAGAAGCUGUGGCAGAAUUAAAAUCUAGUCAGAGUAAGCUGAAAUUGCACAUUAUUUUGUGUGUAAAGGCAACCAUAGCAAUAAAUGCCUAUAUCUAGUGAGGUUGCGAGAGAUGUAUGAAGUGUACAAGGGACAUUUUGGAGUGCAAAUGUUGGUGAAGAACAAGGACCGAGUACUGACACUGUAAAAUGCUUCAUAUGCCAAUGAUAUCACACUACACAAGAAUGUCCUGUGAGAGAAACCUUUCAAGGGUUGCUUGCAACUGAGUUGAUGGGAUGUCUUAAACAAGAAAAUGUCACAAAAUAUGUAUGUAAAGCACAAGAUUAAAGAGUGUGAUUUUAUUUUUGUCAAAAUCGUUAGAACUAAAUGCUUAUUUAAGGUCAAGUUAUUAAAUGUUAAAUUUAAUAUCAAUAAUUUUAUCUUUGUUAAUUUCUAACAUUGUGAUUAACUCUUGAAGCCAUAUUCAGCUAAUUAUUUUUAAUUAUUUUUAUUGAAAUAGGAAAUACGCCAUGAGAAUGAUAGAUAAUUUUUCUAUAGAUUGUCAUACAUGUGGGGGUAUUUUGUUAAUACAAAGCUGUUAAUUACAAUAGUGAUGUUUAUCGGUUUUUUGUGUUUGAGAACACAUAAAAAGAUAAUAAAUUAAGAAAUGCAUUUUUGAAUAAAUCCAAAAUGGAUUUAACCGCUUUUUUCUUCUUUUCUAUUUGAGCUUCUAAUUAUCUUUAAUGAUACUUUCAUGAGCUCAUCUACGUAAGGUUAAACCUAGAUGGCAUAAAAACACUAGAAUUAAAGUGUUUUAGACUCUAUUGACAGUAGAUCUCUUCAAAACUUUAGAAGAAGCUAUUGGUUCAUGAAAUGCACUUUGUUGAAGAUUUCCUUAAUGGUGAAUUAAAUCCAUACAUGGGGCAGCGGAUUUUCAAGGAAAAGAUAAAUCUCAAGCGUCGUGUCGGCACGCCUAGCUACUGUGUGACAUGGAUGUUCCAUUUACCCUUUUGCCAUGAAGAUUUCAUUGCAAUUAUGUUGGAUACAUUCCAUAAAUAGACCAAAUUACAAGCAAAUUGCACUAGUUAGGUCCCCAAGAAAGAGUGAUUUGGUUUGAAAUGGUCCAACUUAAAACGUUGAGUCCUUAGCUAAUAUGUACCUUUGUUAGAGCAAAAUUCUUAAAAACUCUUGUGUAACUCAGUAGAUGUUCACAGCUAGAAUGAACGUACCCAUGAGAACUCAAAUGUUUUAAGGAAAGAUUCCAUUGUGGAAUACAUCAUCGUUUACAUGAAUGCAAGAAUAGUUCAAAGGCAUAGCAUUUAUUGGUUAGCCAAUAAAGUAAAUAUAUUUCCAUAAGAGAAGGUUGAAAGGUUAAGAUUACCUGUCUAUGUAGGUUUUGAUCCACUGAACUCUGUUGAAGUUAACAUGUUUUGAUAAAAAAAAAAUUUUGGUUUCUAUUUUCUGCCAAUUUUCAUUCAUAUGGGGGAUUAUUGGAAACAUAGCGCACAAACGAUUAUUUUGAGGCAUGAUUUUAAGCAGGACCCACUUGGUGUGAAUAUAAGGUCAAUGUUGUUUGGAUACUCCUCUAUGACUACUUAAAAAUAGUAUAUUUAUAUACUUAAAAUAAUACUUGGUUGAAUAGCUCAAAGUGCACCCAUGGAGUUGGAAAAUUUAUAGAAAAAUUCAUUUAUCCCACAUGACAAAGAGAGCUAAGGUAUGGAAGGUUUAUAUAUAAUACUUAUGUGUAUAUAGAUUAGAAUAUAUGCAUAGAUACUCUAUUUUGCGCGCACUUGUGCAAUGGGUACAAAUCCUAAUCCGAUUAGCUUGACUCAUGUGACCCACAUCCUGUGUAUGCAAAUGUCAGCCUAAAUCAUGCUAGAUCCGCCUUAGCCACUUUUUUUAAUUUUCUGAUAAUAUUUUUACAAAUGUAUUAAUGUAUAUAUGUAUGUAUGUAUGUGCAUAAUCAGAUAAAUUUAUUUCUAAUUAUGUGGUACAUUAUUAUAUUUAUUGCACUUAGAUAUUAUUAUCUUUACGUUUUUAACUUUGAAAACCUUUAAAU